rnacentral:rRNA from 1 species
CACGUAGGGACCAAGCGUUGUCCGGAUUCAUUGGGCGUAAAGAGCUCGUAGGCGGCUCAGUAAGUCGGGUGUGAAACCUCCAGGCUCAACCUGGAGACGCCACCUGAUACUGCUGUGGCUAGAGUCCGGUAGGGGAGCGUGGAAUUCCUGGUGUAGCGGUGAAAUGCGCAGAUAUCAGGAGGAACACCAGCGGCGAAGGCGGCGCUCUGGGCCGGAACUGACGCUGAGGCGCGAAAGCGUGGGUAGCAAACGGG